GCGACCCCAGGAUGGGCGAGGCCACCCGCCGAGUUUAAGCAUAUCAAUAAGCGGAGGACAAGAAACUUACAAGGAUUCCCUAUACG
rnacentral:rRNA from 2 species